ACACCUAAACUUAAAGAGGAAAGGUUUAUUUAGCUCACAUUUUGUGGAGGUUUGGGUCCAUAGCCAGCUGGCUCCAAAGCAGCGUGGUUCAUGACAGAAGGGCGAAGCAGAGGAGAAACAGCCCAUGGAGCCCACACGGUAGCAAAAGCAACAAGGGACCUUAGCAGGGUCUUCCUGCCCCUUUUAUAUCAUCCAGAGUACCAGGAUCAGGGCGGUGCCAAACCAGUCAUGCAAGUGUAGCGGUUUAGGACACCCAGCAUCAAUCACACAGUCGAGAUUCAGCCACCUCUGAAAAAGAAAACGGCACCACAUCCACAUGAGGCUAUGCGAAGAUGUCUAAACACAGGCCGCAACACACACGGUUCAGACGAUAUCCUCACUUGGUCUGGCUUCUUGCUUGAAGGUAUCACUCUCUCUAUGUGUACUGUACAAUAAAUUCCCCUUGUUCAUCUGGCCUGACGCGUAUGAGUCUUCACUGAAUUUUCACCGAGGUCACAAAAGAACUCAGAAUGUUCCCAAGGACUGGUUCCCGGUGACGGGACCCUGAUUCCUGGUAUCAGAACAUUACAUAACACACAGUUGGGGUAAAGAUAAAAAUAGGUUAAAACAUGUCAUUAGGAGAAUAAUACGUGAUCUGCAUCAGCAUUUUGAGCUUCUCAAUAUUUUUAGUCAACAUAUAUGCUUAAGAAAUCUGGACUCUCUUUGAUCAUUAUAUGCUAUACUACACUGCAGUGGGAGGAAGCCAUAAAUUCUGAAUUGUGCAUUUCCCCCAGGGCCUCUGUAAUAUUAGGAAGUAAUGGCAGCGGAAGAAAGAGAAAAAUAAUGACAGGCAGUGGGUGAAAAAGCA
rnacentral:lncRNA from 1 species